GCUCCCUUCCCGGCCCCAUCGUUCGCACUUGUCCUGACACGGGAGCCGCGUGCGGGCACGGCAGGCUGCGACGGGAGUUGUUUUAAGGAACAUGAAGGAGUGAGCUCCCUGCAAUUUCUCAAGUUUCUCAUCUAUCUGAUUUUGACAUGAUCAAAUGUUUGGUGGAAGAUGUGCGAGCCAGGCUGCGUUCUGGAGUGACUAUCAACUCACUGGGGCAGUGUGUCGAGGAGCUUGUCCUCAACAGUAUUGAUGCCAAAGCAACAUGUAUAGCUAUCAGGGUGGAUUUAGAAGCUUUUAAGAUCCAGGUCGUGGACAAUGGCUCUGGGAUGGGGAGAGAGGACUUGAAUGCAAUGGGAAAGCGCUACUUCACCAGCAAGUGCAGCUCAGUGGGAGACCUGGAGAACCUGACAUUCUAUGGCUUUAGAGGGGAGGCUGUCGCAAGCAUAGCCAACAUGGCCAGUGUAGUUGAAGUGUCAUCUAAGACCAGCAGGACAGCAAAAACAUUUGUGAAACUGUUUCACAAUGGGCAGGCACUGGAAGUCUGUGAAGCUGAAAUGAACAGACCAAGUGGUGGAACUACAGUGACCGUGUGUAAUCUGUUCCAUCAGUUACCAGUGAGGAGAAAGUGUAUGGACCCUGUACUAGAAUUUGAGAGGGUGAGACAGAAAGUAGAGGCUAUUUCUCUGAUGCAUCCUUCUGUCUCACUUUCUUUAAGGAAUGAUGCUUCUUGUUCUAUGGUUCUUCAGCUCCCUAAAACAAAAGAUGUGUACUCUCGGUUUUGUCAAAUUUAUGGACUGGGCAGAUCACAGAAGUUACGAGAAAUAAAUCAUAAGUCUGGGGGAUUUCAGUUAAGUGGUUAUAUCAGUAUUGAAGGACAUUACAACAAGAAUAUGCAGUUCUUGUAUGUGAACAGAAGGCUUGUUUUAAAGACAAGACUACAUAAACUAAUUGACUUUUUAUUAAGAAAAGAAAGUGUCAUUUGCAAGUCAAAAAGUGUCCCUGUGAGCAGACAGGCUAGUUCAAGUCCUGGUCGCCAUCGUUGUGGCCCAGAGUUGCAUGGUAUCUUUGUUCUCAAUGUGAUCUGUGCAUACAGCGACUACGAUGUGUGCCUGGAACCUGCGAAAACUCUGAUUGAGUUCCAAAACUGGGAUGUUCUUCAAACUUGCAUAGAGGAAGGAGUGAAAUCAUUUUUGAAACGAGAAUAUUUAUUUAUUGAACCAUGUAGUGAGGACGUAAGGGAAUUUAAUGAAGAUAAUGACUUCUGUUGGUGUAAUGCUCCAGUUCUCGAGUCCUCAAUCUCUGAUGAGAAGAGCAUCCAAAACAGUUUUAAGAAAGCAUGUGAUGAAAUUGUGAAUUCCUAUGAAAUGUGUAACUUGCAAUCAAAAAAUGUAAAAAGGAUAUCCGUGACUGGAAAAAAAUCUUUGAAUCUUACAGAGUCAAAUAAAAGUCAACAGGAAACAGAAAUUAUGCCAGGUCACCAGAUUGCUCAACCACCUGAUCCAUGUGGAAACAACAAACAGGAGAUUUUACUGCCCAGUAAGGGUGACACAGCUUCUGAUUUCAAUAUAUCAAAUAUUCCUGAGCAGGAGCCAAAAGACACCAGCAGUUCCCAAAAAACAUCUGAUACUCAUCUGAAACCUUCAGAAAACCUUCUUUCCUCUUUCAGCAGGGGGGCCAGAUCCGAAACGGGAGAAGUAGACAGUUGUGGAGAGCUGCAGCAUUGUGCAGAGAAUUACAUAAAAGAUGUGGGAAGCCAGCAAGGUGAAGGAGUGCAGAAGAGUGUGGUCCAUAUCUUAAGUACUGAUGCUAACCAUUCGCCCUCUGAGAGAGAAGACACCAGUGAAACAGCACUGGGAGCUGACACUGUCUCUGGAACUUCAUUGCUGACACCGUGUAAUGCAGGGAAGGGAGACGGGGAAACUUCUGACGACACAGAUGAUGCUGGAAGAGGGAUUGUUAGCUUGAGACCACUAAAAUUGUGCUCUACAGGCCUCAGAACACAUGUUAUGCAAAGUGGACCCCCACAUGAAUAUGAAAAAAGAGAAACAUUAAACAUGCAGUGUAGACCUGGCCCUGUCUGUGCCAAAGAUUUUUUUGGCCGCAAAGUGAAUUUUCCAAGUCAGUCUUUAAAUUCUAAGGGUAUUUCCAUUAAUACAAAUGAGGAACAUACACCUGCUCACAGGGGAGAGGCAUGCAUGGCUGAUGGUAACAAGUGGUUAGGGAACAAAAGUUUGUCACAUCAGGUGAGUAAGGGGACAGGAAUGCCUCUUGACACCAGUAGAAGAUAUUGUGAGACAUCAAAUGUUGCAGAAUUGCCACUAGCAACUUCUUCAGGUAUUUCUCACAACAAAGUUAUAAAAAGUAGUAGAAGACAAAUAGUUGUGCCAAGACAUCAGCCCACUAAGAAGCUGAGCUUGUCCACACAGCAGGGUUCAUUAGAAAAGUUCAGGAGAUAUUAUGGGAAAGUGAAGUGUACUCUACCAGCACCAUUGUCAGAGCAGCGUGAAUUUGGUUUCACAGUAUUUAAUUCACAAGCUAAUUAUGAAUUUUCAAAGAAUGAGAAUGACAACCAUGGUAGUGUGAGUGCUUGUGAAACCCCAACUGUAGAAAAUAACAGUAUUACAGAUUCUAACAGCAGUAGUCAAGUUUUUGUGUCUUUGAAAGAGACUUUAUUCUGCAGUGGAGAAACUUCACAGGACAAACGAGACUUUUGUCAGAGUCCUUUGACAUUAUCUGAUUACUCUCAGGAUUGUGAAAAAAAUACAAAUUGUCAGAGAUCUCCAGGAUCUUUAUCAUCCAAACUGUCUAGAAUGAAAAGUGACCACAAGGAAGGAGAACAAUUUGGUGAACAAGUCCAAACAGAUUCAGGUAGAAAAGAGGACUACUGUUUUCAUCUUGAAUCUUCAAACAAUGAUUUUUUGUACAGUGCUUGUCAGACAACUGAACCUUCAGUGGAAGUAAUGAGGGAAUGUGAUUACAGCAUUUUGACGGGAGGUACGUGCUUACAAUCAGAUGGAAUGAGACCAGAGUCCAUGAGAAGUACUGUCAACUCAUCACCACUCAGCAGCAUAGAAGGGGAGUACACAGUCUCUUCAAGCACUGUUUUAUCACUGCCUGCUAAAAAUUACUCUACUAACAUCCAUAAAGAUAUAAGUACAUUGGAUGAAUCCUUGGAACAAAAUUUGAAAGAUACUGAGGUUUCCCAUAUGACCUUCCCAAGUAAUUUGGAAUUCUCUGUGGAUAAUACUAGCACAGGUGAUCCCAGGAAUGAUUUGUGGGGUUCUGACUGGAUGCAAGAUUUUGAUGUUUCGUCAGGUAAGACAAUAUACAUAAACAAAGCAACUGGGCUGAGCACCUACAACACUCCUCCGGCUGAAGGAUUUCAAGCUGCCUGCAUUCAAGAUAUCACAACCAUGGCUGUGAAUGUUGUCUCAGAGAAUGAUGCUGAAGGGGAGUCUCUCCAGUCAUUGCUUUCAGAAUGGGAUAAUCCUGUUUUUAUACCUUGCCCAGAGAUUGCUGUUGAUGUGACUAGCAGUCAGGCCGAUGAUCUGGCUGUGAAAAUUCACAAUAUCUUGUAUCCUUAUCGUUUCACCAAAGACAUGGUUCAGUCAAUGCAGGUUCUUCAGCAAGUGGACAAUAAAUUUAUCGCUUGUGUAAUCAACACCAGGAAUGAAAUGGAUAAAAAGGCAGAUGGAAACCUCUUGAUUUUGGUGGACCAGCAUGCAGCUCAUGAGCGGAUCCGCUUGGAGCAGCUUAUUGCAGGUAAGGAUUCAGAUGGUCCUAGACAGACAGACAGACAGACAGUGCACAGAAAAGUACAAAUGAGCUGUCUGAAAGGGAAAGCUUACCAACUAACUUAUCAUAAGGAUAAAUCCGGGAUAUAUGGGAUCAACAGGACGUUAACUUGUCACCUUUAUCCUGAUCGGUAGGAGGGUGCAGACAUUCAGUAUCUGUAGCAGUCACAGUAUUGGCAUCUGAAAAUUGUUACAGUGUUUCCAAAAAUAGCAGAUUUACUCCCUACCCACAGAGCUAUGAAGCUAAAAUAGUCUUCACGUAAUAAAAGAGCAGGAAGACUGAUAGGAAAAACAAUGAAGAGGAAAUAGAACAACAUCAAUAAGAUUAUGUGGUUAUGCUGUGAAGAACAAGACACGGGGUGCAGAGUAAAGGGCACAGUUCAUUUGGUUCCUUUUUAGCUGAAUACUGUGCUUAAAGCCUAAAUUUUCCACAAUCUGUUUGCAAAGGGAUAAUGGUCUUCUCUGUAAGCUCAUUAACCAUUGGUUUCAGUGUUAAAAAACACAAUAACUAUCCUUCAAGUACUUAAAAAUCAUUGACCUCCUCUUUCAUCUGUAAAUACUGUGAAGUUCCUGCAGAGAGGGUUCCAGGAACUCCGCUCCUUUUGGUCAGGUACUGAAAAAAAAAGAAGACUGUGGAGAGAAAUGCUUAAUGAAUAGUAUUUUAAUGCCAUUUAUAUCAGACUUUUCAGUGGAAAAAUUGCUCUCUGUGUUUUGAACUAAAUAUGUCUUUUCUUUUUUUUUUUUUUUCUCUAUUUAGAGUGACUCUUUUUUGGAACUGGUGGGAAAAAACAAAGUGUCAUUAACCAGCCCUUCCCCAGAGACUAGAUGUCUGGUUUGUGACAUUCUCAAUCCCCCACAAGUUUCAGGAGAAGGCAUUCUGUGGUCACUUUUUAAUCCACACAGGGGAUUACAUGCCAAACCAUGGGGUCAUUAAGGGUAAUGCCUGCGUAAAUAUUCUGAGAGAGAAUAUUUCUGAACGAUUCAUUCACAGAUUCCUAUGAGAAGGAAGCUGCAGCACGUGGCAAGAAGAAAUUGCUGUCCUCCUCCAUCUCUCCACCUUUGGAGAUUGAAGUUACAGAAGAACAAAGAAGAUUUCUACGAUGCUGCUACAAGAAAUUGGAGGACUUGGGUCUUGAAUUAUCAUUUCCUGAGACCAACAGCUCCUUGAUUCUAGUGAGGAAAGUGCCACUCUGUUUUAUAGAAAGAGAAGCCAACGAAUUACGACGGAAAAGACAGCCUGUCACUAAAAGCAUAGUGGAGGAGCUUAUUCAAGAACAAGUUGAGCUAGUGCAGACCACAGGAGGAGGAGCACGAGGGACACUGCCUCUGACAUUUCUGAAAGUGUUAGCAUCCCAGGCCUGUCAUGGAGCUAUUAAGUUUAACGAGCAUUUGAAUUUGGAGGAGAGCUCCAGGCUUAUUGAAGCUUUGUCAUCUUGCCAGCUGCCCUUCCAGUGUGCUCAUGGAAGACCUUCCAUGAUGCCUCUUGCAGACAUAGACCAUCUACAGGAGGAAAAGCAGCCUAAACCUAAUUUGGCCAGGCUGCGGAAGAUGGUACGAGCAUGGCACCUAUUUGGAAAAAAAAAGCCCUGAUGAAAAGUGAAGACUGAAAGCUGCAGCCACUACAUGUGUUGGUAUGAUGCAGGUGCCCCUCUUAGACAAUACCCUGUGUGGAGCCAAGUUUCUGAGCCAAUGCAGUACCUGCAGUUCUGCCCUGAGUACUGACCUAAUAAACAGAGAACAGCCAGGACAACAUGGAGAGAGGAGCCCACCUGCCGACCCUUGUAGCCUGGAGGAGCAUUUUCAAAGUUAAGUAAUUACACUGGUAAGCCUGCACCUUAUGUCAGUCCUUGACUAUGGGAGGCAGGAAGCUGCAGCCACUCACAGUUACUAAAGUGCUAUUUCUCUGGGGAAAAAAAAA